AUUGAACGCCGGCGGCAUGCCUAACACAUGCAAGUCGAACGGGACCUUCGGGUCUAGUGGCGGACGGGUGAGUAACGCGUGGGAACGUGCCCUUUGGUUCGGAAUAGCCCCGGGAAACUGGGAGUAAUACCGGAUAAGCCCUACGGGGGAAAGAUUUAUCGCCAAAGGAUCGGCCCGCGUUGGAUUAGGUAGUUGGUGGGGUAAUGGCCUACCAAGCCGACGAUCCAUAGCUGGUUUGAGAGGAUGAUCAGCCACACUGGGACUGAGACACGGCCCAGACUCCUACGGGAGGCAGCAGUGGGGAAUCUUAGACAAUGGGGGAAACCCUGAUCUAGCCAUGCCGCGUGAUCGAUGAAGGCCUUAGGGUUGUAAAGAUCUUUCAGUGGGGAAGAUAAUGACUGUACCCACAGAAGAAGCCCCGGCUAACUCCGUGCCAGCCGCCGCUGUAAUAC
rnacentral:rRNA from 1 species